rnacentral:rRNA from 1 species
GCCUCUUAGAGUGUAGGACUUCGCGUUCGAAGCUUUGAGAGGUCGCAGAGAAUCGGUGGCUGCGACUGUUUAACAAAAACACAGCACUGUGCCAACACGAAAGUGGACGUAUACGGUGUGACGCCUGCCCGGUGCCGGAAGGUUAAGUGAUGGGGUGCAAGCUCUUGAUCGAAGCCCCGGUAAACGGCGGCCGUAACUAUAACGGUCCUAAGGUAGCGAAAUUCCUUGUCGGGUAAGUUCCGACCCGCACGAAUGGCGUAACGAUGGCCACACUGUCUCCUCCUGAGACUCAGCGAAGUUGAAGUGUUUGUGAAGAUGCAAUCUCCCCGCUGCUAGACGGAAAGACCCCGUGAACCUUUACUGUAGCUUUGCAUUGGACUUUGAAGUGGUUUGUGUAGGAUAGGUGGGAGGCUAAGAAGCCAGGACGCUAGUUCUGGUGGAGCCGACCUUGAAAUACCACCCUGACUCCUUUGAGGUUCUAACCUUGGUCCGUGAUCCGGAUUGGGGACAGUGCAUGGUAGGCAGUUUGACUGGGGCGGUCUCCUCCCAAAGUGUAACGGAGGAGUUCGAAGGUUACCUAGGUACGGUCGGAAAUCGUGCUGAUAGUGCAAUGGCAAAAGGUAGCUUAACUGCGAGACCGACAAGUCGAGCAGGUGCGAAAGCAGGACAUAGUGAUCCGGUGGUUCUGAAUGGAAGGGCCAUCGCUCAACGGAUAAAAGGUACUCCGGGGAUAACAGGCUGAUACCGCCCAAGAGUUCACAUCGACGGCGGUGUUUGGCACCUCGAUGUCGGCUCAUCACAUCCUGGGGCUGUAGCCGGUCCCAAGGGUAUGGCUGUUCGCCAUUUAAAGUGGUACGUGAGCUGGGUUCAAAACGUCGUGAGACAGUUUGGUCCCUAUCUGCAGUGGGCGUUGGAAGUUUGACGGGGGCUGCUCCUAGUACGAGAGGACCGGAGUGGACGCACCUCUGGUGUACCGGUUGUGACGCCAGUCGCAUCGCCGGGUAGCUAAGUGCGGAAGAGAUAACCGCUGAAAGCAUCUAAGCGGGAAACUUGCCUGAAGAUGAGACUUCCCUGGAGGCUUGACCUCCCUGAAGAGUCGUUCGAGACCAGGACGUUGAUAGGUCGGGUGUGGAAGCGCUGUGAGGCGUGAAGCUAACCGAUACUAAUUGCUCGUGAGGCUUGAUCCUAU